rnacentral:rRNA from 1 species
UACAGAGGUCUCAAGCGUUGUUCGGAUUCAUUGGGCGUAAAGGGUGCGUAGGCGGCGCGGUAAGUCGGGUGUGAAAUCUCGGGGCUUAACUCCGAAACUGCAUUCGAUACUGCCGUGCUUGAGGACUGGAGAGGAGACUGGAAUUUACGGUGUAGCGGUGAAAUGCGUAGAUAUCGGGAGGAACACCAGUAGCGAAGGCGGCUCGCUGGGACGUCACUGACGCUGAGACGCGAAAGCGUGGGGAGCAAACAGG